rnacentral:snoRNA from 1 species
AGCUUCUUGUUGUUUUCGCCAUCAACGAUGCUGUUUUCGCGCUGUGCGCACAAGGAUUUCUUACCCGUUGCUGGGCGCCUGGCUUUGAGAGGUCGUUUCGACUUCAUUGAGAACUUGGGAAUCAGCUGAGGUUACAUAC